GCCAGGCAUGGUGGCGGACGCCUGUAAUCCCAGCUUCUCAGGAGGCUGAGGCAGGAGAAUCGCUUGAACCCAGGAGGCAGAGGUUGCAGUGAGCCGAGAUCGUGCCACUGCACUCCAGCCUGGGCAACAGAGUGAGACUCUGUCUCAU
ensembl:misc_RNA Metazoa_SRP Metazoan signal recognition particle RNA